CAGGACUCUGCUGCAGGUCAGCAGCCUGGACAGGGGAAGACGGUGGGUGAGUACGUGCAGUUGGGGGCAGGACAUCCCACCGCCUGAGCUACGCAUCCCCUCUGGCCUGGAUGCCCUGGGUCUGCGGCUGUGCAUAGAGGGUCCACCUGCACUGGUGCGUGCGACUGGGCCUCAUGUCUGCAGAUGUUUGGCAACAGUGUUGAGAAAGAAAGAGGUGGAGGAGGGCCCUCGGGGACGGCCAGGAGCCCACAAAGGGGGGCGGCUUGGGGGUCCCCACCCUGCCCACUGACCCCCAGGAUGGCUGACUCGGGACAACCCACAGCAGGCACCAAGACGUGACCCAACCGCCGUCCUCCAUCAGCACUAACCCAGCCCUGGUGGACACAGACCGCCCCCGGAGCCCCUGCCACUGCUCUCCUCUCCGUGAGAGCGCCAUCCCCAGGAGAAGGCCCAGCACGGCUGGGGCGCAGCACGUGAGCCACACGGCAUCCUGACCUCCAUCCCAUCCAGUCCUCUGCCUGUGGGUGGCCAGAGGGAGGCAGCGUCCUGGUCUUCUCCCCUCGUCCACGGGGCAGGUGUGGCCUGCCGUGGGGACCGGUGCGGCCAGGACUGUCCUGCAUCAGCCUAUAGGACCCUCCCUUCAGGUGGAAGGUGGCCGGACGCUGGAGCCCAGGGCAGGCUGCCUCAAACCUUCAACAAUUGCUGGGCUGGGGGCGCACAUCUGUGAUCCCACCACUGAGGAGGCUGAGGGUGGGGGAUUGCCAGGAGUUCGAGGAGAGCCUUGACUACAUACAGAGACUGUCUCAAGAAAACAGACAAACAAAAAA